UACAGAGGUCCCAAGCGUUGUUCGGAUUCAUUGGGCGUAAAGGGUGCGCAGGCGGCGAGGCAAGUCGGACGUGAAAUCUCGGGGCUUAACCCCGAAACUGCGUUCGAUACUGCUUUGCUCGAGGACUGGAGAGGAGACUGGAAUUCCUGGUGUAGCAGUGAAAUGCGUAGAUAUCAGGAGGAACGCCAAUGGCGAAGGCAAGUCUCUGGACAGUUCCUGACGCUCAUGCACGAAGGCCAGGGGAGCAAACGGG
rnacentral:rRNA from 1 species